GACGAACGCUGGCGGCGUGCUUAACACAUGCAAGUCGAACGAGAGGACAAGAGAAGCUUGCUUCUUUGGAAUCGAGUGGCAAACGGGUGAGUAACACGUAAACAACCUGCCUUCAGGAUGGGGACAACAGACGGAAACGACUGCUAAUACCGAAUACGCUUUGAGAUGGCCUCGCGUCCGAUUAGCUAGUUGGUGAGGUAAUGGCCCACCAAGGCGACGAUCGGUAGCCGGACUGAGAGGUUGAACGGCCACAUUGGGACUGAGACACGGCCCAGACUCCUACGGGAGGCAGCAGUGGGGAAUAUUGCACAAUGGGGGAAACCCUGAUGCAGCGACGCCGCGUGGAGGAAGAAGGUCUUCGGAUUGUAAACUCCUGUUGUUGAGGAAGAUAAUGACGGUACUCAACAAGGAAGUGACGGCUAACUACGUG
rnacentral:rRNA from 1 species